UGAGGAAUCUUGCGCAAUGGGCGAAAGCCUGACGCAGCCACGCCGCGUGCCGGAAGACGGCCCUAUGGGUUGUAAACGGCUUUUACCAGGGAAGAAAGCCCGGGGUUUGCCCUGGAUUGACGGUACCUGGUGAAUAAGCACCGGCUAACUCCGUGCCAGCAGCCGCGGUAAUACGGAGGGUGCAAGCGUUGUCCGGAAUCAUUGGGUGUAAAGGGUGCGUAGGCGGACUACUAAGUCUGGGGUGAAAUCUUGCCGCUUAACGGUAAAAUGGCCUUGGAUACUGGUAGUCUUGAGUAUAGAAGAGGUAAGUGGAAUUCGUAGUGUAGCGGUGAAAUGCAUAGAUAUUACGAAGAACAUCAGUGGCGAAGGCGGCUUACUGGUCUAUAACUGACGCUGAGGCACGAAAGCGUGGGGAGCAAACAGGAUUAGAUACCCUGGUAGUCCACGCCGUAAACGAUGCAUACUAGGUGUUGGCUUUUCGGAGCCAGUGCUGCAGUUAACGCAUUAAGUAUGCCACCUGGGGAGUACGUCGGCAACGAUG
rnacentral:rRNA from 1 species